rnacentral:rRNA from 1 species
GUAGCAUAAUCAUUUGUCUUUUAAUUAAAGGCUGGAAUGAAUGGCCUCACGAGAAAUUUCCUGUCUCAUACUUAAUAACUUAAAAUUGACUCAAAGGUGCAAAGGCCUUUAUAUUCUCAUUGGACGAUCAGACCCUAUGGAGCUUUAGAUUAAAAAAACUUAAGAUUAAAUAAAAUUAUGGUUUUCUAUUUCUUUUGUUGGGGCGACAAGGAGUAAUUACAUCACUCUAUUUACUAAACAAUAUUAGUUGGAAGAUUGAUCCCUUUAGAAGGACCAAAAGACUCAGUUACCCUAGGGAUAACAGCGUUAUUUUUCUGGAGAGUUCUUAUCGAUAGAAAAGUUUGCGACCUCGAUGUUGGAUUAAAGAAUCAGGAGGGGGUAGUUUUUCUCCUAGAGGGUCUGUUCGACCUUUAAAUCUUUACGUGAUCU